CUCUAUGGUGGCUCAGGCAGGGGAACCGAAAGGUUCACCGGUUCACGGUAUCCGGCAUUUCCAACCCUGUCUGGGCUACCACCACG
rnacentral:antisense_RNA from 1 species